GAUGAACGCUGGCGGCGUGCCUAAUACAUGCAAGUCGAGCGAACAGACGAGGAGCUUGCUCCUCUGACGUUAGCGGCGGACGGGUGAGUAACACGUGGAUAACCUACCUAUAAGACUGGGAUAACUUCGGGAAACCGGAGCUAAUACCGGAUAAUAUAUUGAACCGCAUGGUUCAAUAGUGAAAGACGGUUUUGCUGUCACUUAUAGAUGGAUCCGCGCCGCAUUAGCUAGUUGGUAAGGUAACGGCUUACCAAGGCAACGAUGCGUAGCCGACCUGAGAGGGUGAUUCGGCACACCGGGACCGAGAACCGGUUCCAACCCCCAAGGGGGGCAGGAGGAGGGAAUUUUGCGGAAUGGGGCAAAGCCUGAACGAGGCAAGGCGGGUGGGUGAAGAAGGUCUUUGGGUUGGAAAACCCUUGUAUUUGGGAAGAAAAAAAGGUGAAGGAAACUAUGCACUUCUGAAGGGAACCAAAGAAGAAGGCCCGGCUAACUUAGGG
rnacentral:rRNA from 1 species